rnacentral:rRNA from 1 species
CUACGGGCGGCACCAGUGAGGAAUAUUGCACAAUGGGGGGAACCCUGAUGCAGCAACGCCGCGUGGAGGAUGACGCAUUUCGGUGUGUAAACUCCUUUUAUAUGUCAAGAAAAUGACGGUAGCAUAUGAAUAAGCACCGGCUAACUCCGUGCCAGCAGCCGCGGUAAUACGGAGGGUGCAAGCGUUACUCGGAAUCACUGGGCGUAAAGGACGCGUAGGCGGGUCGGAAAGGCAGGUGUGAAAUCCUACAGCUUAACUGUAGAACUGCACUUGAAACUUCUAAUCUAGAGUAUGGGAGGGGGAGAUGGAAUUAGUGGUGUAGGGGUAAAAUCCGUAGAUAUCACUAGGAAUACCUAAAGCGAAGGCGACCUCCUGGAACAUUACUGACGCUAAGGCGUGAAAGCGUGGGGAGCAAACAGGAUUAGAUACCCCCGUAGUC